GAUGAACGCUAGCUACAGGCUUAACACAUGCAAGUCGAGGGGUAGCAGGGUAGCAAUACCGCUGACGACCGGCGCACGGGUGAGUAACACGUAUCCAACCUUCCCAUAACUCGGGGAUAGCCUUUCGAAAGAAAGAUUAAUACCCGAUAGUACUUUUUCAAGGCAUCUUGAGAAAGUUAAAGAUUUAUUGGUUAUGGAUGGGGAUGCGUUCCAUUAGAUAGUUGGUGAGGUAACGGCUCACCAAGUCUUCGAUGGAUAGGGGUUCUGAGAGGAAGGCCCCCCACAUCGGUACUGAGACACGGACCAAACUCGUACGAGAGGCAGCAGUGAGGAAUAUUGGUCAAUGGGCGAGAGCCUGAACCAGCCAAGUAGCGUGAAGGAUGAAGGUCCUAUGGAUUGUAAACUUCUUUUAUAGUAGAAUAAAGUGACCUACGUGUAGGUUUUUGUAUGUAUACUAUGAAUAAGGAUCGGCUAACUCCGUGCCAGCCGCCGCCGUAAUAC
rnacentral:rRNA from 1 species